AUAUAAUGCUGUAUUCAUUGAUCAUAUUUCUGUAUUUAAAUAAGUACAUUUUUUAAAACAUCAUAAAGUGGAUCAGUAAUGCUGUAAUAUCACAUUUCAUGUAUUAUACAACAUUUUUGAAAUGGAGUACUCCAAAGUAAUUUGCUUCUUAUGGUUACCAAAGUUUAAAGAAUACCCUAACAUGCACUCCAAGAUUUUAAGAGGAAAGGCUUUGUGUUUUUCAUUACUGUAUUUUGAAAUCUGAGAGUGCAAAACUAGUUUUCUUAGGUAAACCCCGUAAUCAGUUUCCACAUUUACCUGUAAAAGUCAGUGGAGGGCAUACAUCUGGAAGUAGUAGUGGCGGCACACAAUGUGUGUUAAUAUGAUUUCCAAGGGGUAUCUAGAGUAAACUUUCUUAAUCACAGAUCUGAUCUGAGCAUGCCACUCCUUUCUUAAAAUCUUUUGUUGAUUUUCCAUUUCCCUAAAAGGAAGGCCCACUGGAGCAUGGGCCUUGCAAAGUCCUCUUUCUGGCUUCUGCCUGCCUGCCUUUUCAGCUUCAUCUCUGCCAUCUUCCCUGAAUGAACUUUUGUCAGUGGCCUCGCUCUUUCUACCUAUGAGAUGUUGUUUCUGCAUGUUCUUGCAUGGAAUUCUCUUCCUCCCAACCCUGUUUCAUUCCUUUAAUCUGUACAACUCUUUCUUAUCCUGAAGUCUUUAUGUUAAGGUUGCCUUUUCAGGAAGACUUUUAAUUGUAUUAGCUAAUUAAUUAAUUAAUAGUCUGAGGUAUUUGGAGCUGAGAUUCUAUGGGGAUUAGUUGCUGGAGGGUAGUUUAGAGCCAGAUUGUGAAGGACUUUCUAAACUGUGCUUUCAAGGUUUUGAACAGGAAAAUGAUGUAGACUUUCUGUUUUUUGUAAGUUUGGAGGAUGGCUUGUGUCUUGAAAGAAUAUGUAACAUAACCAUCUAAUUUGUGAGUAGUGGACUAAGGAAACACCACUCUAACCUUUUUCUCUCUGCGAUAAUCCCAUCUUCAGCCUCUCAAGCACUGUGAAAAAUCACUUUCUCUUGUUAUAUUCUUGGAGCCCCUGCUAAUUCAUUAUUGAAAAAUACCUGCUGCCUGCAUUUGGCCUUAUGUUGUCAUUUACUUGGUACUUCCUAAGCGUGGCUACUCCAAUGAAGCUUUAGUAUAUGUACUGAAAGAAGAUCCUCUCAUACUGCCACAGCCAACAGAUAAGGUUGUAAAUCUUUAUUGGGAGAAGCCGUCAAGGACAGUUCUGUGAAAUGAAAGGAUCUCUGGAUCACCACAAAGUCUGGCUCAGUGACUAUGGCUUUGCUAACACUAAACAUUCCUAUCUCAAGUCCUGUAGAUGGCUUGAAAUAGUAUACAUAAGCAUGCCUUAUAAACAUCUUCAGUCUUUAUCAACUCUUUGGAGAUUCAGCCAUUCUUUUUUGUACUUUAGGGAAUUAAAUCAUUUUAUAAUGUAUAAAUCUGAGCAUGGCAGAUGGCAGAAGAAAUUUUGUCAUAUGUUUUUAAAGAAAUAAAAAUGUAUUAUGUUUU
rnacentral:sRNA from 1 species